AUGUUAUACGAUACUGUGUUCCUCACACUGAUAAGAACUGAGGCCAAGGUGAGGGUCACAACCUACUGUAAGGUCAAAGAGUUCUGUGAAAAUCUUCCAGCCAACUGCCAGAAGAAUGUGAUCAUGACCCACAUCUUGCCCUGCAUCAAGGAGCUUGUGUCAGAUGCCACCCAACAUGUCAAGCCGGCACUGGCUUCUGUCAUCAUGGUUCUCUCUCCCAUUCUGAGUAAAGACACCCUCUUGCCCCUUUUCUGGGCUCAGCUGAAGGAUGAGUGCCCUUAGGUGUGUAUGAACAUCGUCUCCAACCUGAAUCAAGUGAAUGAGAUGAUUGGCAUCCCGAAGCUCUCUCAGUCCCUGCUUCCUGCCAUUGUGGUACUAGCUGGGGAUGCCAAGUGGUGAGUGUGUGGCUGGUCUUCAUUGAGUACAUGCCUCUGGCUGGACAGCUGGGUGUGGAGUUUAUGGAUGAGAAACUCAACUCUUUAUGUAUGGCCUGGCUAAUGGAUGAUGUCUAUGCUGUCUGUGAGGCUGCCACCAGCAACCUCAAGAAGCUAGUGGAGACGUUUGGGAAGGAAUGGGCCCAUGCCACUAUUGUCCCCAAGGUCUUAGCCAUGUUUUGAGACCCUAACUAUCCAUAUCACAUGACUAUACUCUUCUGCAUCAAUGUGCUGUCUGAGGCCUGUGGGCAGGGAUUACUACCAAACACAUGUUGCCCACAGUUCUUUGUAUGGCUGGGGACCCGGUCGCCAAUGUCUGCUUUGUCACUACAGAAGAUAGGACCCAUUCUUGACAACAGCACCCUGCAGAGUAGAGUCAAGCCCAUCCUGGAGACACUGAGCCAGGACCAGGAUGUGGCUGUCCCAUACUUCUCCCAGGAGGUGCUGACUCUUCUCCCUCUUGCCUGA